GCGGGUGUGGCGAAAUGGUAGCCGCGCUAGAUUUAGGAUCUGGUGGACGAAAGUCCGUGGAGGUUCGAAUCCUCUCACCCGUACCA
rnacentral:tRNA from 1 species